GUGCUAGCUUCAGCAGCACGUAUGCUAAAAUUGGAACGAUACAGAGAAGAUUAGCAUUGCCCCUGCACAAGGAUGACACGCAAAUUCAUGAAACGUUCCAUUAAAAA
rnacentral:snRNA from 1 species